rnacentral:lncRNA from 1 species
GUCUAGCUGUAACAGUUACAGCACGUGCGUGUUCUGGUUUUUUCAUUUUCACGUCGUUCAGGGAGGCGUUACGUGAGCAGAUCUUCAGAAUGACUACGGUGUUCAUUCAAACGAAGUUUUGCUUCUUCGGGCGCAAUAUCCUCGAUUCUUGGCAGACGAACUUGACUGCCAUGCAGUCGGAACGCAGUAAACGCAUCAGACAUGCCUUACGACUCAUUUAGGACAUACGACCAUUCUCGGGAUACGGAAUGCGUUCCGAUGUGUGACAUCAUGCUGUAUUUAAUAGAUGAGGCGUGCGCAGCUGAGUUGUCAUGGUAGUUGCAUGACAUUUCUUAGAUCUGCCGUAGAAAUGUUUUUGCAACCGGAGUCUUGAUACACAGCGACACAACUUUGCUUCAAGAACCCUCAUUUUGUGUCGCUGUCAGUUGCCAGGAGGUGUCUGCCCUGAACAAGCGGACAGGGGAGACUAUGAAUGCCAUGAACCGUCUGCGUAUAAAUAAAUGCACUGUUGGGCUGUCAGUCCGUCGGAGGACUGGAAGUGAUGAAUGGUCACCGCUUGAAAUAGAUAGCAUUGCUUCAUUUUUUAGAGCGUCUCUGAAUUUGAAAUCGGGAUUAACUAAGGUCACAGCAAAGCUGCGACAUGCUGUUGACGAUCACCUUCAGAGAAUCUGUUGACGUCUUCCUGCGUGGCUUUGUGUAUGUGACAAUGCCUCUAGGCAGCGGGAUUGUUGUACUAGAGAACUUGAUCAGGCACUUAGUCAGAGACGACUGUCAUGCUGACAUUCCACAGGUUCCUUCCAACUAGCACGGUAUCCUCUGUGACCCGGUGUG